rnacentral:rRNA from 1 species
GACCGUUUCACUACGGAAGGGCUGUAUUUAUUGGAUACCAAAACCAUCCUUCCCUCGGGAAGUUUUGUUUGAUGAUUCACAAUAACUGAUCGGAUCACCACUGUGGUGGCGACAGGUCAUUUAACAUUCUGCCCUAUCAGCUUUCGAUGGUUGUGUAGUGGACAACCAUGGCCAUAACGGGUAACGGAGAAUCAGGGUUCGAUUCCGGAGAAGGAGCUUGAGAAUUGGCUACUACAUCUAAGGAAGGCAGCAGGCGCGCAAAUUACCCAAUCCCGAUUCGGGGAGGUAGUGACAAAAAAUAACAAUACCGGGCCUUUUUGGGCUUGGUAAUUGGAAUGAGGGAGAGUUAAACGGACCAUCGAGUAUCCAUUGGAGGGCAAGUCUGGUGCCAGCAGCUGCGGUAAUACCAGCUCCAAUAGCGUAUAUUAAAGUUGUUGCAGUUAAAAAGCUCGUAGUUGGACUUGUGUGCGCUGUCCGCGGGUGGCCUGCGCCCAAAAGGGCGUUUCGGUUCGGCCCCGGUGGCGCCUUGAAAUCUGCAGCUGGGGGGACGUUGGCCUUAACUGGUCGGCGACCGCACGCCGGCUGCUCGGUUACUGUGAGAAAAUUAGAGUGUUCAAGGCAGGCAUUGGGUGCAAUUGAAUACAUUAGCAUGGAAUAAUAAAAUAUGGCUCCUGCCGUAUUUUGUUGGUUUUGACUGGUGGGAGUAAUGAUUGAUAGGGACGGUUGGGGGUGCUAGUAUUGAGCGGCCAGAGGUGAAAUUCAUGGAUUCGCUCAAGACUAACUUAUGCGAAAGCAUUCACCAAGGACGUCCUCUUUAAUCAAGAACGAAAGUUGGGGGAUCGAAGACGAUCAGAUACCGUCGUAGUCUCAACCAUAAACUAUGUCGACUUGGGAUCGGCGGUAGUUUUUUCAUUAAGACACUGUCGGGACCACGGGAGAAAUCAAAGUGUCUGGACUCUGGGGGAAGUAUGGUCGCAAGGCUGAAACUUGAAGGAAUUGACGGAAGGGCACCACCAGGAGUGGAGCCUGCGGCUUAAUUUGACACAACACGGGGAAACUUACCAGGUCCAGAGAUGUAGAGGAUUGACAGAUUGAAGCUCUUUCUUGAUCACUUCGGUGGUGGUGCAUGGCCGUUCUUAGUUGGUGGAGUGAUUUGUCUGGUUAAUUCCGUUAACGAACGAGACCUCAGCCUGCUAGUGUAGUCGGCUGGAUUGCCUUUGGCGAUCCGUGAUUUUGACUUCUUAGAGGGACAAUCGACGCGCAGUCGAUGGAAGU